rnacentral:lncRNA from 1 species
UCAGACUCAAUUUGGCAUUGCACCAAUCUUGAAAGUUGAGUAGACUAAUUGGCAUAUGCUUUAUAGGAUUUUUGAUGGUUCAAUAGAAUUAUUAGCAUCCAUCAUACUUGACAGGGAGUUAUCCUGCAUUUUCCAACAUCAACAACUCCAACUCUUUGGAGUUUUAAAAGUGGCUAAUUAAGCUAGUCUUAGCAACAAGGUAAAUACAUAGAUACGGUAACAAAUCAACCAAAAUCAAGCAUUAUGCACUUAAUUUUAGGCUGGAAUAUAUCUUAAACAAUUAAAAGCAUAAAAUGAUGUGUAGGUCCUUCUUCAAUUAGUUAAUAUUUUCUUUUUACUUAUUUGCAUCUAUACUUCCAGCUCAUGCUAUUAAGUUACAACAAAAUUAAUGCACAAUAAUUUCAUCAAAGAAACGCAGUCAAAAUUUCCUGAAUUCCAACCAUUUUCAAAGAAGCCACUUCCUCACCUUUUUUUCAUCACUUGGACUUGUAGGCUGGAAUAUAUCUUAAACAAUUAAAAGCAUAAAAUGAUGUGUAGGUCCUUCUUCAAUUAGUUAAUAUUUUCUUUUUACUUGUUUGCAUCUAUACUUCCAGCUCAUGCUAUUAAGUUACAACAAAAUUAAUGCACAACAAUUUCAUCAAAGAAACGCAGUCAAAAUUUCCUGAAUUCCAACCAUUUUCAAAGAAGCCACUUCCUCACCUUUUUUUCAUCACUUGGACUUUAUACUCACUCCAUCUCCGCCAGCAAUAAUGACAGCAGUAGUCAUAUCCAAGAACAAUCCAUGCUCAACCACCCCUUCGAAAGCUGCAAUUUCCUUCCCGGCAGCAGCCGAAUCCUUUAUGGGCGUCUUGAAAUACAAGUCCACAAUGUAAUUCAUGUUAUCAGUCACAUAAGGUUUCCCAUCACCAUCCAAUCUCAGCUUCGCUUCGCACCCUUCUUCUUUGAAUAACUCCUGCAGUCUCACCAAAUUGUACUUCCAACAGAAUUGCACCACUUCCACAGGCAUUGCCAGGCCCGACCCACCAAGACCAUCCACCAGCUUCGAUUCAUCCACCACAACCACAAACUUAUCCGAGGCGGCCUCGACCAUCUUCUCGCGCAAAAGGGCCCCACCGCGACCCUUGACAAGAUCAAGAUCUGGGUCAACCUCAUCUGCUCCGUCAAUGGCCAAGUCCAGAUGAGGGUGGGCAUCGAGGGUUGACAAUGGAACGUUAAGACUAGCAGCUUGCUCCUGAGUCCUCUUCGAGGUGGGCACACCCACAAUAUUCGUAAGCUCGCCGGACUUAAUCAACUCGCCAAUCUUGGCCACCACGAAGGCGGCAGUGGACCCUGUACCCAACCCAAGAACCAUACCGCUCUUAACGUAUUCCACGGCCUUAUCAGCAGCAAGUUUCUUGAGAUCAUCUUGGGUCAAUACUGAGGGAGGAGUGGACAGGGCUUUGAUGACGAAUUUAGAAGGGUACCGCAGAUUAAGGUAUGAAGAACCUAGAUUAAGGCGGCGGGUGGCAUUGCGGUGGUUAACGGAGGAAAGUGAUGUGGGAGAGAGGAGGGAUAAGGUGGUGGCCAUGGGAAGCGAAAAUGGGAGGUUGGUGUGGAAUUUGGUGUGUGCUCCUCUCUUACCUAAUCUUCCAGUGAAAGGGGUUGGACUUGUUGGAUCGGUUUUCUAUUUAUAAGGCACGUGGCUGCCUUUGAGAUUCACCUUUAAGAAUCAUUUUUAAGGUGAAAAUGAAAGCCAAGGAAUUGGAGGUUGGUGGCAGUGGCGUGAAUCGCGAGAUAAAAAGAAAUUGUUCUAAAGGAUCAUGGGUGUUAGCUGGCCGCCCACGGAUCUGGGUCGAGCAGCGAAUUUCUCGUACGAAUUUUUCGUUGGUGUUGAAGCAUUGCGAGUUGACUCAUUGUAAAUGGNCACGGAUCUGGGUCGAGCAGCGAAUUUCUCGUACGAAUUUUUCGUUGGUGUUGAAGCAUUGCGAGUUGACUCAUUGUAAAUGGUAAAAAUUCAGCCAUUGCUUGCACCGCGUUAUUUUUAUAAAAAUACGUGUAAUAAUAGUGUUUCGCGCGGGUUAGUCACUAACAAAAAUGGAUCAGACGAUUGUGUAAGGGACAAGCCUCUUGAGACAAAAUCCCAAAAAGGGGUGUUUUUAUUGACGAUGACUUUACAAUUAGAAAAUAAAAAAGAAUGCCUCCAAGGGGCGCAAGCACACGAGUUACUGAAAAGAAGUGUUUAAAUCUAAACUAAAAAAUUGAAAGAUACAUAUUCUCUGUUUGAGACUGUUUGAUUCGGGAUCCUUUACUCAAUGUAUUUUCUUCCUUUUAUACUCCCUGAAUGAUCUCUUCGUGAUCAACCGUUUAAAAACUGUUUGAUCGCUUUAUAACUGCCCACUUUUUUCAUAGUGGCCAACUUGUCAUGGAACUGCCUUCUCUAAUUGCUGUCAUUACUUUUUGUAGUUCAAUCAUCUUCAAUUGAAUUCCUUGAAUCGUGGAACGUGAUAGGGCUACUGCUUCAUUAACCGCACCUUUGGGUAACCAUAACAUCUUAUAUUUUCUAAGAUCCUGGACGAUUCGAAGGUUUGGGUGAGAACGGAGUCACAGCUCUGGGCGACUGCAUGGCAAUCCAUUCGCUUAAAUCUUGGGCGACUUAUAAACUUGGGCGAUGGUAUUACCGCGUUCAUGGGCUUCCCUAUUUGGGCCUUUAUCCUGAAUUGCCUGAUUGGGCCGUUCUUUGAGCUAUCUGAUUUGGGGAUCCUCCAAUUGGACUUCAUUCCUUGGGCUGAAUUUUUUGUGUGUCAACAAUUACCCCCAAUAUGGCAGAAUUAAUACCAAUUAUUAAUUUUUGCCAUAUUCACUUUGUGUUUCCCAACAACAUUUGAAAUUCCCAAGAAUUUCAAUCAUUAUUUUCUUCCAUAAUCUGAAAAGCUGCGACGUUUGCAAACCCUUAUAACCCCCAAAUACACAUCAUUUCAUUGCACCACUAAAUUACGCCUUAUUGUUUCGCGCUUCUCUCUCGCAAUAUUACUGUUCAUCUUCUUGCUUCUCUGCUACGUUUUUUAAGCAAACUUCGAUAAACUCUAUUUCGUUCCUAAUGGCUGCUUCACAAUCCCAGUCUGGUGACUCCUUCGGUUUCGAAAACUUCCAGAAACUCCUCACUCGGCCAUAUAUAACUCUGAACUUCCUUGCACCAGCCAAUGUCGAACUCAAUGAGUUCUAUCUAGGUCAUUCAUUCAACAACGCCGAGGCCAUCGAACAAGCAGCGGUCGGUCAACUGUUCCCUUGUACUCAAGACCCUCCGUUUCUAAACUCUUUGCCGCUGAGGCCGCUUCGCGAAAGAGGUAUUCGCACUUGGCCUAAAUCUGAUGUCGUUUUUCGUAGAUGGCAUGCUUGCCUUGUGGACCAUGGUCCUACUAAGACAAUUUUUUAUAGUGCUAGGAUUUCUGAUUUGUUAGAAAUCUCUCUUCAACCCCCUAUUUUUUACCCAGCACUUUUUCCAAUCGCUUUAAAUUUUUGGUGUUCUGAGUAUAAUACUUUUGUUUUCCCUCUUGGUCCCAUAUCCAUUACCUUAAGGGAUGUUGGGGCCCUAGUAAAUCUGCCACCUUUGGGCGAUACCAUUUUCCGUGGUAUUUUGAUUUCUGGUGUCGUCCCAAAAUUUGAUAGAAAACUCAUCGAGUCUUAUUCAAGUCUGCAAACCUGUCAUAACUACUCGAGCACUGAGCCUUCCCAUACUGAGCGUGUGGCCUUUCUUCAGAUUUGGCUUUAUAAAUACAUUUUGUAUGUGCCAAGCAUAAAGCCCUCCAUGAGCUAUUUACCCAUAGCGCACAAAUUGGUGCGUGGUAGGCCUCUAAAUUUAUGUUCUUUCUUUUUAACUGCCCUCUAUAGAGGCAUGGCUUCUCUUCAAUCCCAAUUGAAGAAUGGUGCAUCUCCUACUGGUAGUGGGCCUCUUUGGUUCACUCAAAUGUGGUUGAGAGUCUAUUUUCCAUCGCUUGGUGCUCCAUCCUUUUCCAGUCCUUCUGCUAGCUGCUAUGGGCUAGCCAUUAAUCCCCUGACUCCUGUAAAUAUGUCCAGAAGGGAUAUUUUUUCAUUCUUUUAUAUUCUGAAUUCAAUCCCUUCCUUCUUUCCUUUUCCUCCCUUUUUGACUCCAGAUUAUGUGCAACCUCCAUCCACUCUGGAUAGUGCGAACACCUCUGUGUUCGUUUGGAUUUAAUUUUUGACCGGGAGGGAGUUGUUCCAUAAUAUUUUAACUGAGACCAAUGCCAAAGCUGGGGUUGAAAUAUAUGCUCCCCAAUUUUUUGCUCGCCAACUUGGUUUUAGCCAAACUUGGCCCGUUCCCCCUUGCUAUUCAAGAAAUUUGAUAGACCGCUUCCACACCAUUAAUAAGGCAGAGGCAGGAGCUAUAGAUGCUUACAAUAUUCUUUUGACAAGCAACUUUUCAUUAGCCCCCUUCAAUCCUAGCCGUGCCAUCCAUCCCCUUUUUGAACGACUCUGGCCGUCAGUGAAACGCAGAUUGUUUGCGACUAAUGCCAAUCGUGCUUUCCAUUCACUAGACCACUCAAACAUUUCUUCCACCUUUCCUGUUUUGGUCACUCCUAUGUCCAUUAGGAGUCCCUCUUCCCCUGCUCGUGCUAAACAGUCUGCUUGUCCAUCGACUUCUCUUCCCGCCAAGCCCACUGCAGCUAAAAGUGCCCCAAGCCGCAAACGGCCAGCCUCAGCAUCUCCCAUUCUGGAGGAUGAUGCUGAUGAUAAUGAUGACACCCCUCUCUUCGUCAAGAGAAAGGUAAUUAAAUUGGUUUACUCACAAACAUACCUUUCCAUACUUGAAACUUUUCUAUGUGCUGAUGAUUUAUUUGGAUUUCUCAGAAAAGUUCAGCCUCUCCUUUGAAGGCUUUGGUGUUGGCAGCUCCUGCUCCAUCAUCCUCUACUGAGGCUGCUUCGUCCAAACCAGCUGAUAAAGAGACUACGCUUAAAGAGAAAUCUUCAAUCCCAAAAUCUUUAUCACAACCAAUGGAUGAGCCACCUUCUUCCCAGGGCAUUGACCCCCCAAAUGUCGAAGCAGAAGGUAAUUCAUUUUUUAAUGCUUUACCUUUGCUUGUGCUAUUGGUUUUUGAUUUGUUGCUUUUUGAGUUCUGCAGAUGCUUCCAUGAGUCUGUCCGUUGCGGCAAGGUCUUCUUGCUUAAACAAGGGGAAAUCCUCACAAAUUAUGGAGCCACAGGUGGUAGAUUGGCUGGGGAUAUGCCACCUUCCAAGAUUGCUGAUGAGGUAAUCUUUGCUUCACCUUUACUUCCACUUUGUUUAGUGUAGUGAAAACCUUCAAUGUUGGCAACUUUCUUUGCAGGAUGCUGAUAAAAUUGUGCGUUCCAUCCAAGACUUGUUCACUUCCUGGGGGCAAGUCAAGACAUCUCGCCCUGCUUCAGCCAGUCGUCCUUCUACUUCUUCAGAGGAAAAUAUGAAAUUCCUCAAGCCGUCGAUAUUUGAGUAUGUGUCCUUCAUGGAUAUGGACGUCGGUAAGGCUAGUGCUGCCAAGCAUAAGGAUAAGCUUGAGCAUUGGAAUGCGAAAUUGGAGCAAGCACUGACACUUCCGUCGCUCCAUCUUUCUACUGAUUUUAAAGCGACGUUGAAAGUUGUCCAUUCCGAGGUCCUCUCCUUGCUGGCCAAAAAUGUUAAACUGAAGGCCAAAAGUACUCAAUAUUUUCGCGCUGUAUCUGAAAGAGAAUCUUUGCUUUUGGAGAUCAACAAAGCUGAGAACGAAUUGAAAGAAAUCUCUUCUGAAGUCAUGAUUGAAGACUCCUUGAUGACCAGUUUGGCUGCAUAGAUGAAGGAGCUUCAAGAAAAGAUGGACGACUGCAAGGCGAGAAUGGCUGCCAAAAAAUGCAAUGCCUCCCAAGAAAUUGAGCGAACCAAGUCUUUGGUCGAGCAGUACAAGAAGUUGGAAGUUGAUGAUGAUGUUAUGGCUGAAUUGAAUAUCACUUCUUCUCGGCAGAGCGAGGACUGGGGGAGACUCAGGGAAAGAAUUCGUUUGGUAUGGGGCGAAUUGUAAUAAAGACAUAUAAUGCCUUAACUUUUUCUUUUUGUAAUUUCGUAUUGACUUUCCCUUUGUAACCUUGUACUGAUAUCCAUUGCUAAUUUUGAUCAUAACAGCAGCCAUCAUUAUUAAUGAAUAACUAUUUUAGCUUCUUGUAUAUUUAUUGAUGUUUGUCUCUUAAUCGUCAAUCGCUCAAGCAUUUAACUGCUUUAUGCUAAAAAAAUUUGCACAUUUUCUCUUGAUAUUUCUGCCUCUUUUCCCAAAACUUUGGGCCAUUUGAUUCUAGUUACUAGGCACGAAUGUGACCGUUCAUAUUCUGUCUCUUCACUUUCACGCCUCUAUCAAUGCACUUAUAUUUCACACUUGUCAUUUUCAUUUCCAUUUUCUUCUUCAAAAUCAAUUUGCUGCCAUUGUUUGGCACUUUGACAAUCGAUCCAAAGCCUUCGUCUUCCAUGGAAAUGGAUCAUUUGAUUCGCCCAUUUUGCCAUCUUUCUUGAUGUUACCUUUGGUAUGGGAGAUAUAGGAAAUAUUCUUUAGCCAGCGAAGUUCUUCCCAUCAUCUCCAUGUUCUUUACAAGGAGUUCGAUGAUGGAAAAUAAUUUUUGAGGAUGCCUGCAAGCCACCUUGCUUGCUGAGAGUGCUUCUCAGCCUCAUUACUCGUCAUUGCAGCGAUGCAUUUAGGAAGGCGAUGCGAAGGAGCUUCAUCUUCCUUUCCGCUUGCUGAAAGUGCUUCUCGGCCUCUCUGGUUGCCUUUGCAGCAGUGCGAUCGGGAUGGUGAUCAAGGCCAGUACACCCUCUUACUCAGCGAUCGACCGGGAGAUUAGUUUGUUCUUAAUUGUAGUUUAUAGAGUAUCUAGCAUAUUAUAUUUUGCAGCUUUGUAAUGAACGUUUGAUAAUAAAGGAAUUUAUUUGAAUGUAUUUCGCUCUGACCCUUUUUACUCUACGAUCGUUCAAUGCGAUUUGAUUACGCUUUUAUUUGUUCACUUUCCCAUAAGGAAUGAACAUAUUUUUUUUAAAUAUUUGUCAUUAAUGAACUUCAUGUGCUUGGUGCAGUCUAAAUCUUCCAAAUGAUAGGCUCCAUUGGGCAACACAUUAUUUACUUUGUAUGGUCCUUUCCAAUUGGGCGACCAUUUGCCAUACUUUGGAUCUUUGCUAUCCAAAGGGAGUACUAUUUUCCAAACCAAUUCGCAUAGGUUGAAUGACUUGGCUAUAACUUUUUUAUUAUAAAAUUUAGCCAUUCUUCGUUUUUGAACUUGCAAUCUAUCUAGGACGUCCAACUUUAAUUCGUCCAACUCCAAUAAGUUUUGAACUAGUGAUUCGGUAUACUCACCACCACUUAACUUAUGUUGCAAACACACUCUGGUCGAUUGCACGUUGAUUUCUAUAGGCAAAACAGCCUCUUGUCUAUAAGUAAGUUAGAAAGGAGUAAUUUUGGUACUUGACCGAGGCUACGUCCUAUAAGCCUAUAAGGCCUUGUUCAGACAUUCGUGCCAAUUUCUGGCAUUUUCAUCUAUCAUUUUUCUUGUAAUAUUUUUUAGAAUCUUAUUAGAAGAUUUUGCUUGUCCGUUGGAUUGAGCGUAAUAUGGUGUGGAGUUCAUUAAUUUAACCCCAAACUCGCUCAAGAAUUUUUCACUUGAUCCCUAUUCAAAGAUAUUCCGUGAUCUACCAUCAAAAUUUGUGGAAUUUCAAAUCUAUAAAUGAUGUGAUCACAGAUAAAUUCUAUGACAUUCUUUUGGGUGAUCUCCUUUAAAGGUACCGCCUCUACCCACUUAGUGAAAUAAUCAGUUGCAACUAUAACAAAAGUAUGUUGCUUGGACGAUGGGGGAUAAAUCUUCCCUAUCAGAUCUAACGCCCAACCCUUGAACGGCCAAGGUUUAAUAAUAGGUGACAUUUCUCAUGCUGACGCCCUUUGUAUUGGACCAUGCUUUUGGCAUGCUAAACAACUCUUUGCAUACUGAACGCAUAAUUCUCCCAUCUUUGACCAAAAAUAUCUACACCUAAUAAUUAACCAUCUCAUCCUUUGGCCAGUUUGAUGAGCUCCACAUAUCUCUUCGUGAACUUCAGCCAUGAUCGUCCUGACUUCUUGCAAACUUACACAUUUUAGCAAUAUACCAUCAGAGCAUUUCUUAAACAACUCUUCAUCUAUUAGUGUAUAGUUUAGCAAAUGCAGCUUCAUUUUUCUACUAUUUCCUUUAUUAGGUUUUUUAAGGAACCUUUUAAUCUCUGUCCUCCAAUUCAUUGUAUCUCCAUUUUGUAUGCAAUGAAGUUCAAUCCUUCUCACCCUUCUUUGGAUCACGGGCAAUAUGGUUUCAUACUCACAAGUAGACUUCCAAUUUAAAACAUUUGAGUAUCCUGAGGCCAUUUGGGCCAACUCAUUUGCCACGUCAUUAUAUAUCCUAUUAACGCAUUGAAGUUCUACUUGGUCGAAUUCUUCUAACAACUCUUGGGCGAUUUCAUAUUGACUCAUGAUGGAAUCACUUUGGCAUUUAAAAUCACCAAUCAAUUGGUGAAUUACCAAUUGAGAAUCGCCUCUAAUGAUUACAUUCUUUACCCCCAUAUCUAUCAUUAGUUCUAGGCCCACGAUUAAGGUUUCAUAUUCAGCCUGAUUGUUGGUGCACAUCCUAUCCAAAGUGAAUGCGAAUUUGUAGCAAAUCCCUAAAGGAUUUAUCAAUGCUACUCCUACUCCUGCACCUUUAGAGGUUUUCGGCCCAUCGAAAUACAACACCCAAGGUGUUAGUUUAAAUGAAUUGAUUUCUAAUUCAAUUUCUUCAAGCGUGUCAAGACAUGGAUGAUCGGCUAAAAAAUUAGCCAAAGCCUAAUUUUUGACUGCCUUUUGGGGUAUGUAUUGUAUUUCAAAUUCUGAUAAAGUUAACAUCCAAAUGCCUACCCUUUGGUCACCAAAUUUGUCUUCUUGCUCGACCAUUCCAACUAUUGAUUCUUUUUCAGCCAAUACAUACACUUUCAUUGGCCAUCCUUGGAUUGGUGACACAAACACUGGUGGACUUGAUAAAUAUGUCUUCAAACUUUCAAAAACCUUUUGAUGUUCUUCUUUCCAGACGAAUUCGUCAUGAUUUUUCAACUUCAAAAGUGGCGAAAAAACUUUAGUUCGCCAUCUUGAUCGAGCAUCUAGCUGAUGAAUGUUGGACGAUCUUCUCCUUCAUUGCCAAUGUUCAUUUUAAUCAGAGGGUCUUGUGCUUGAGCGUAUCCAGGUUUGAAGAUCCGCAUUACUUCAUCGUCCAGUUCCCUUGUAGGCACUUCUUCUUCUAAACAAUCCACCUUGUUGACUUCUCGGCCAAUACUUUGUUCCAAUUCGAAUACUGCUAAUUUAUCUUUCAACGCUUUCAGGACUACCUCUUCUUUCAUCUUGUCUUUGCAUUCUUUAUUGAAAGUCAUUAAUUUGGCUUUGAAGGCCUGAAUAUCGGUCAUUUACUUUUGUUGCUUAGAACUCAUUCAAGACUCCUUGAUUAUUCUUUUGUCAAUUACUGGCUCUUCUAGGGUCACUAUAUUUGGUCUCAUCUGACUGAACAUUUCAUUGAGUGCGUCCACUAAAAAUGGCUCUUCACUCUGCGCAACAAUCUGAGUUUCUUCCCCAUCUUGGACUACCCUGACAGGUCCAUAGUUUCCUUCGUACAUGAACNNNNNNNNNNNNNNNNNNNNNNNNNNNNNNNNNNNNNNNNNNNNNNNNNNNNNNNNNNNNNNNNNNNNNNNNNNNNNNNNNNNNNNNNNNNNNNNNNNNNNNNNNNNNNNNNNNNNNNNNNNNNNNNNNNNNNNNNNNNNNNNNNNNNNNNNNNNNNNNNNNNNNNNNNNNNNNNNNNNNNNNNNNNNNNNNNNNNNNNNNNNNNNNNNNNNNNNNNNNNNNNNNNNNNNNNNNNNNNNNNNNNNNNNNNNNNNNNNNNNNNNNNNNNNNNNNNNNNNNNNNNNNNNNNNNNNNNNNNNNNNNNNNNNNNNNNNNNNNNNNNNNNNNNNNNNNNNNNNNNNNNNNNNNNNNNNNNNNNNNNNNNNNNNNNNNNNNNNNNNNNNNNNNNNNNNNNNNNNNNNNNNNNNNNNNNNNNNNNNNNNNNNNNNNNNNNNNNNNNNNNNNNNNNNNNNNNNNNNNNNNNNNNNNNNNNNNNNNNNNNNNNNNNNNNNNNNNNNNNNNNNNNNNNNNNNNNNNNNNNNNNNNNNNNNNNNNNNNNNNNNNNNNNNNNNNNNNNNNNNNNNNNNNNNNNNNNNNNNNNNNNNNNNNNNNNNNNNNNNNNNNNNNNNNNNNNNNNNNNNNNNNNNNNNNNNNNNNNNNNNNNNNNNNNNNNNNNNNNNNNNNNNNNNNNNNNNNNNNNNNNNNNNNNNNNNNNNNNNNNNNNNNNNNNNNNNNNNNNNNNNNNNNNNNNNNNNNNNNNNNNNNNNNNNNNNNNNNNNNNNNNNNNNNNNNNNNNNNNNNNNNNNNNNNNNNNNNNNNNNNNNNNNNNNNNNNNNNNNNNNNNNNNNNNNNNNNNNNNNNNNNNNNNNNNNNNNNNNNNNNNNNNNNNNNNNNNNNNNNNNNNNNNNNNNNNNNNNNNNNNNNNNNNNNNNNNNNNNNNNNNNNNNNNNNNNNNNNNNNNNNNNNNNNNNNNNNNNNNNNNNNNNNNNNNNNNNNNNNNNNNNNNNNNNNNNNNNNNNNNNNNNNNNNNNNNNNNNNNNNNNNNNNNNNNNNNNNNNNNNNNNNNNNNNNNNNNNNNNNNNNNNNNNNNNNNNNNNNNNNNNNNNNNNNNNNNNNNNNNNNNNNNNNNNNNNNNNNNNNNNNNNNNNNNNNNNNNNNNNNNNNNNNNNNNNNNNNNNNNNNNNNNNNNNNNNNNNNNNNNNNNNNNNNNNNNNNNNNNNNNNNNNNNNNNNNNNNNNNNNNNNNNNNNNNNNNNNNNNNNNNNNNNNNNNNNNNNNNNNNNNNNNNNNNNNNNNNNNNNNNNNNNNNNNNNNNNNNNNNNNNNNNNNNNNNNNNNNNNNNNNNNNNNNNNNNNNNNNNNNNNNNNNNNNNNNNNNNNNNNNNNNNNNNNNNNNNNNNNNNNNNNNNNNNNNNNNNNNNNNNNNNNNNNNNNNNNNNNNNNNNNNNNNNNNNNNNNNNNNNNNNNNNNNNNNNNNNNNNNNUUUAAUACGCUCAAAGACAUUGGGAUGUGGUCCAGGGUCUUCUUCUCCAUCAUCUAUAACCAACUUGAAUUUUGGCAACUUGUUUUUGAAACCAAACGUCACCAUAUUCACUCCAAGUGGCCGUGGAAAAGGAUUUCCAUCCACUGUCAUCUUCUUCUUAUCAUCGAACGUAAUUCAUCAUGAUUCAAUGGCAUCCUAUAACACAUGGCGAAAAAUCAAGCAAUUGUUAGUUAAAUGUGACAAUGCAUUAUGCCACUUACAAUAUUUUUUACCCUUAAUUUGUUCAGGGCUUGGCAAUUUAUGCUUAUCGCUCAACUUUAUCUGCUUAUCUUUAUAUAAUUUAUCAAAUAUAAGGUCAGCUUUGGUUAUAUCGAAUAAGAACGUUCUAGCUUUUAUGUUUUCAUCUUUCGUAGGCUCAUCCUUAUCCGAUGGUCUAAGCUUAGCCAUUAUAGGACAAGUAUACGUGUCUCCUUUGACUAAUUCGGCCAAACAUAUUUCGGUCUGAUCGUAUGACUCGUUAUUGAUGGUAUGAACAUCAAAAUUUGGGUCUUUAUAAUAAUUCCCCUUGCUAGAAUUUUUUAUCUGCUCUUCUUCUCUUAUCAAUCGUUCAUACCUAAUCACGUUCGCGCUCAAUUGAAAAAGGUCAGGAAAUUCCUUGUCUUGAAAUUUCUUUUUCAAAUCAAAGCUCAAACAACCUUGAGCAAUUUUGACAAACUCUUUUUCGGGUAAAGUUACAAAAUAUUUACUUCUUGCUGUCUUGAACGUUUGGAUGAAACCUUCUGCCCAUUCGUUUGGCAUUUGACGUAGAUUCGUCAAAUCGGUCAAAGUAAUUUCAGACUCAGUCUUAUGAAAUUGAGCGUGGAAUAAUUAUUCCAAUUAUUGCCAUGUUUGAACAGGGUUUGCUGGCAAAUUAAUGAACCAGGAGAAAGCUACUUCUGUUAAUGAACUAGGGAAAAGCCUCAUUUUAUGAUAAUCAGUUACGUCACCACUUUGCAGUGUGAAUCGCCCUAUAUGUUAUAGAGUAGACACCUCCCUUAAACCGGUAAACAGUGAGAAUUCUGGCACUUUAUACUCUCUAGGCCAUGGAUAUGCUUGGUCUACCAAAUCAGGAUAUGGCUUUGUGUAAGUUGGCCUAAUGUCAGGUCGUACCCCAAAAGCCAUCUGAUCCUGUACGAUUUCCAUAAUCUGAUUCCUCAACAUGACGUUGGGGUCAUAUGGAAUCCCUACAGGUUGGUUGACCGGUUGAUUUGCUUGAGGCCUGAUGUUUGGUCCUUGAUUGGGAACAAAGUUACCAUAAUUUGGGCCAUUGUUACCAUUAGCCUGAACAUUUAUUCCCUCAUUAACACGUGGGGUAUUCUACCCAUUAUUUAGGAUAUUAUCUCUUACAUUUGGAUUAUCUCCCAAGUUAGACGUACCAAUGCCACUAUUCUGAUUUGGUAUUGCACCACCCCCCUGGUUUGAAGUAGAGGGAUCAAAAGGUGGUCUACCCCUUGAUUGAAACUUAGGACUGGGGGGUUAUAUCCCACAAUUGUCCUAGUUUGAAAGUGGUUUGUAAGAGGCAUAACUGAUUGACAAAUUUGGCUUACUAAUUUAUUCAUUAUUUCGUUCAAAGUAUUCAAUUGUUUGGCCAUGUUGUCAUAAUGUGCAUUCCCAUUCUGGGUAAAUCUUUCCAUAUUAUGAAUAUUUCGAAGAUUUACCUGUUCAACGACAUCUUGUGUGAGUUCUCCAAGUAGUGCACGCAUAGUUCGAGGACUCAACUCUGUCAUUGAUUCGUAACGACUGUUACUGCUCUGAUUCUGUCCAUCUGUUCGUGAAAAGCUAUGCUGCUCCUCAUAUCGCUCGAUCACAGACUGGACUCCUUCCUGACUUGCUGCUUCCUUAUCGGAUCUCUAAAGCAUAUUGUUUCACCUUUUGUAUCUUUAAUACCAAACACCGAUGUCCCACUAGGCGUGCCAAAUUGUUUUGUGCGAGUUAGUCGCUAACAAUUAAAAAGGGAUCAGACGAUUGUGUAAAAGACAAACCUCUUGAGACAAAGUCCCAAAAAGGGGUAUUUUUAUUGGCGAUGACUUUACAAUUGGAAAAUAAAACAGAAUGCCUCCAAGGGGCACAAGCACACGAGUUACUGAAAAGAAGUGUUUAAAUCUAAACUAAGAAAUUGAAAGUUACAUAUUCUCUGUUUGAGAGUGUUUGAUUCGGGGUCCUUUGCUCUAUGUUUUUUCUUCUUUUUAUACUCUCUGAAUGAUCUCUUCGUGAUCAAUCGUUUAAAAACUACUUGAUCGCUCUAUAACUGCUCACUUUCUUCAUAGUGACCAACUUGUCAUGCAACUGCCUUUUCUAACUACUGCCAUUAUUUUUUGUCGUUCAACCAUUUUCAAUUGAAUUCCUUGAAUCGUGUAACGUGAUAGGGCUACUCAAUAAUUGCUUCAUUAACCGCACCUUUGGGUAAUCAUGACAUCUUAUGUUUACUAAGAUCCUGGGCGACUCGAAGGUUUGGACGAGAACAGGGUCACAGCUCUGGGCGACUGCAUGACAAUCCAUUCGCUCAAAUCUUGGGCGACUUGCAAGUUUGAACGAAGGUAUUACCGCGUUCAUGGGCUUCCCUAUUUGGGCCUUUAUCCUGAAUUGCCUAAUUGGGCCGUUCUUUGAGCUAUCUGAUUUGGGGAUCCUCCAAUUGGACUUCAUUCUUUGGACUAUUCGAUUUGGGCUGAAUUUUUUGUAUGUCAACAAAUAAAAAAUGUGUGAUUAAAAAAAUAAAAAAAUAAAAAUUGGAUUUAAGUGUAAUAUUAUUUUAUUAAAAAUAUGUGAUUGAAAUGAUGUCAAAUUAUCGUUUAAGAAUGUAUGUUUUUUUAAAUAAUGCGGAUCAAACAUGGCCUCAAUUUUAAAUAAAAAAAUUUAAACAAAAAAUGGAAAAUAUAAUCACAAUCGCACAAUUCCUACACAAAUGCAGUCAACAAAAAUUCUAAUUCUUCAAUGAGCAAAAUGUCCCAUCCUUGAAAUCAAUGUUGAAAACAAAUGUACCGUAUUCUCCAUCCUAUUUAUAUAAGCUGACUUUAUUUAUUUUCUUAUUCCAAUUAUAUAAUUUUAUUAUAUAAUUUUAUUUCUUUAUUAAGAGUAUUUUGUUUUGUUUGAUUACUAAUAUGCCCUUAUUUAAUUUGUCUAGUUAUAAUUAAUUUUCUUCAGGUAAUCUUGAAAUUGUGCACAUAUAAAUAAGGGUAAAUUAGCAAAGCUUUUAAAAAAAAUUAUUUUUUCAAUAACAUUAAAUAAAAUUUCUUAAUUCGUAUGAAAAACAAAAUUAACCUAUAUAAAUGAAACAAAGGGAAUAUAAGUAAUUUCUAGCCAACGCACUUCUAUUGCCACAUGAGCAUUGUGUACUAGGUAGGCAAAGUAUGAAACUUACCAUAUACAGCAGCAUACAUGCCAUACAAUGAGCAAAGGUUUCAUUUUAAUGAUUAUGUAGUAGCCGUACCAUAGAAAACCAUCGAGAUUCUCGAAAAGCAAGUAAAAUUGGAUACAAAAAUCUUCAUUUCCUAGCAACAAACCUACAGCAAGAAGCCAAAAAAUUUGAUGAAGAAUUAAAAACAUUGGAGACUUGGAACUUGCCUAGAGGCAUAAUCCGAAGCAUUGCACCAUAUAAUGCCUUAUCUUUGAUUUUUCAUCGAGAAGGAGAAGGGGCAAUUGAGAUUUUUUGUUCAUUUUUUUGGGUUCUUGAUGAUAAGACCCUUCUACAAACUUUAUUCAAAACAAACGCUUUCUCUACAAUUUAAUUUAGUGUCUUGAUCAAAAUGUCCUUGCCAAAUCACAUGGCUAAACUGCAAUCAAUCAUCUGACGAAGCAAAUACACGGAAUGAGAUGUUAUGGGUGAUUCGCACAAAGAAUGGUCCAUUUGGGGGUUCAAAUGUUAAAAGUGAAAUGAUAGGGAAUAUUUGCUCAAUGAAAGUAAAUAAUAGACUUUUUGUAUCAAUUACACUUUUGUGUAUCAAAAUGACAAUUAAGCCGUCUGAGUCACAUUUAUUUUCAUAAAAAUGCAUUUUUGAAUAGUGUAUUAAUAGGAAAUGUGUAGAUAAAAAUUAAAAAAAAAUUAUAAAUUUUCUUGUAAUAUUAUUGUAUUGAAAAAUAUGUGGUUGAAAUAAAAUCAAAUUGCUGUUUAAGAAUGAGUUUUUUUAAAAGAAUGUGGCUCGAGGCCUAAAAGAGAUCUUCAAUACAAUCUUGAAUAAAAUAAAGCUAGAUGGCCAAAAUGAAAAUUAGCCGAGAGUUAGAGGACCAAAGUUGUUUUUCACUCUAAAGAGGGUCGAGAACAUUUGAAAGGAGCUGAAUCAUACAUCGCACUUGGAUUCCCAGCAAUAUUCUGUUAACGUAUUGCUCAAACGUAUUCCCCCUUGAAUCUAGUCCCUUGCCUCCUCUCUGUCAUCAAUCAUGUCGGCCGAAUCAGCCUCUUCCAUCCAAAGAAAUCAGGUGAAAAUAUUCAUUCGUUAUUGCCUCCAAUAAGUUUCAAGUUCUUGCAGUUUUUGACUUUUAUCUCGUAAAUUGGACGACAUUUCUACAUAUAUGUGUAGGUUGAUCUACUGGACUUUGUGAACUGGUCGGGCGUGGAAUGUUUAAAUCAAAACAGCAGUCACUGUCUUCCGAAUGCUCUCAAACGGGUACUUUUUAAUAAUUGAUGAAAUUCUUGAAUUCUUGUCAAAAUUAGGGUUUUUUUCCUGGUUAAUUUAUUUAAGAAUAGGAUGCUUACCUUAUGUUUCUAUACUGUUUCUGUAUUUAAGGGUUUUGAAACUUAUUGACCGAAAAUCGGGUCAUAGAAUAGAAUAGAAUACUCCAAAUUUCUGGGCUCUUGCAGUACAUUGAAUGCGCCUGCUUUUUAUUUGAGCAUCUAUCUAACAACGCGUUGUCAUAAGAACCAUUUAGCAUGAUGUGUAAAAUACAUAAAUGAAAGAAAUAGAUGUCCUAGAAAAAUGGAUGUUCUCGAUACUUGUAGGUGUCAGUUGAAGGUAUGUUUUGUAACUAUUCUCAAAGGAGGCCUUCUAAUUGAUUCAUAUUUCUGUUUCUAGAUCUGUUAAAGUAUUUUUUAGUUUUUGUUAAGUUGUGAGCGUUACUUGAUCCGGAAAAAUCUUAAUGUUAAAUCAUUAAUAGGACUAUCAUCCUUGUUUUGGUGGUCAAAUGCUAGACUAAUUAGCGUCCAUAUCCGUCAUAUUUGCUAUAUACAACAUAGCUGUUUCUGCGCACUUUAGAAAAUAAUGUAGAAGGCCAUGUUAGAAAUAAGAAUUGAUCAAGAUGCCUACUAUAUGCUGUGCAUUCAUGUUGACUUAACCAACAGUUAAGCACUUUCCUGCUUGUCCUUCUUCUUAUAUUUGUUUCUUUCUCAAAUUUCAUAGGGAUGGAACCAUUUCUGUAAGACCAUUGAAGGGAAUUGAGUUUGAGAUACUAUAUUGCAGUGUUUUAACUAGAUGUCUCUACACUAAGAAAUUGUGAUAGUAUUUUGGAGCAGUCUUGUUAGCAUUGCUUUGUUGGUCGUGAAAGAGAAAGGAAGGCUUGAUAAUAAAUAUUCCAGUCAGGAGAGAAUAUCCAUCUUUAGUAAUCCAAGGAAACUAUAAGCUCAAAACUGAUACGAUUCGGAGGGACAACAGAAGAGUAGUGAUACAGUUGCUUGUUUGUUCUUCCAAAAUAAGAAACACAAAAUUUAAGAAAAAAAUUGAUCUUCAAUGAACAAAGCAGGUAUUGAAAAUGCAGAUCAUGAACCUUUGGAACUAAUAAAGGUUUGGAACCCUUGAUGAAUGUUCAUAUAUAAAUUCUGGUUAUACAUUUAUAUCAUUUGGCAUUUGGACUCAGUUGGCAGUUUAGAGUUUGGUUUAAUUCAUUAGAUUGUUAUAAAUUCUUUUAAUCCUUGAUUUUAGCAUCAGAUAAGCAAGACUGAAAAAAGCCUUAUGUAGAUUGGUGCCCAAAACUAACUAGAUUUAUCUGCAAUUUAGAUUAAUUAAAAUUUUUAAAUGCGACAUCGGCUGUUGCCAAACCAGGUGUUGGUUAAAUAGGUCACGCUUAUACUACACCACAAUCAGUUUUACUUUUUUCUGAACACCCUCUUUUGGGGGAAUGAUCGGAACGGUGUAGUGUGGAUAAGACAGGACAUCAAUAAACAUCACAUGUUGUGUGGCCUGAUCUUAUCUUGAGAUCUGAAUUACGUUUCAUAUUUAGCCCAUGUUUGGCUACUGUUUAUUAUUUGUUUAUCAAAAUUUUUAUCCACAUUUCAAGGGACCCACAAAUACUACUCAUUUAUUGACCACUCAUUUUUAUUUAUAAUUUUGAUCAUUUAUUAACCACUCCAAAAUAUGCUUUUAGAUUUUCAUUUUCUUUUAUGCUAUUGGUAUCCACAUUUAAAUGCCUGAUUUGCUAUUAUUCUCUUGUUAAUCCGCCGAACAGUUGCUGUAUUUUUUAUAUCUAAAUUGAAGAUGGGAUCUGAAAGGGUCGGAAUUUUAUAUUUUGAAAGUGAUAUGUAGGAAGAGUUUAUCAACUAGAUUGGAUUUUAGUCAUCCAAGGAUCAUGAUAGUUACCAACGCAGAUUAUGAAAAAAAACAAACGAACAGAGCUAAACUUGAAAGGAAUUACAAGGUUGAUGAGUAUUCAAGAGGCUCAAUACCCUCCCCUAUUUGUAGCAUAUACAAUUCGCUAUGCUAAAUUCCCAUAAUACUCUUCCUCUACUUUAACUAAAUGGAACUAUUCAAGUUCUUUUGAGGCAUAUCAGAUCUCAACAUUGUACAUUAGAAUCAAGAUCAGUGUUACCUUGCAAGAUAGAUGUAUUGAAUUGAGAGGCUCCGUGUCCCUCCAUGAGAGGGAUUUCCUAAUUGGAUUUCUAUUCCCUAUUCAUUAGUCAAACAUGAGCUUUUUGGUUUUUUAUUAGGGUUUUACCUUUUUCCUUGGGUCGUAUUAUCAUUACGUUUGGGAAAUAGCAUUACUCUAUGUCCUCACUUUGUUUCUUUUUUCCAUUGUCCAUUUAUUGACCAUUUCCUUUUGGGAAGUACAUGGGGUUUGGAUCUACUUGCAUCAUUAUUAUCUUGUAGUUCAUUCCUUUUGUUUUUGGUUCAGGAUUACAGAGAAGACGAGGGUUUAAAUUUGGAGAGUGAUGCAGAUGAGCAGCUGUUGAUUUACAUUCCUUUUACUCAAGUUAUUAAACUACACUCUAUUGUCAUUAAAGGGCCUGAGGAGGAAGGUAACUGUUUUAUUUCUAGAAUUCUACUUUUUGUACUGCUAAAUUGCUAAUUAUAUUACCUGAACAUGCAUUACGAUAGCCACAAUUCAAUCACCUUCUGGACUUCUUUUAUGAUAUUUAUUUAGUGAAUUUCUGUUUGAAAUAUAUUUUGCAAUAUAAUUAAGGCAACAGUUCUAUAACAUAAACAGUUGCCUACAAAUAUUUGGGGAAGUUUGCACCUGCAUUUACCAUUCUAUGUUCAAAGAGCGUUGGGCCUCCAUUCAAUUUUUCUUGGCAUUUAUGUUCCCGGGUUUCAACUUCUGUAGCAUCUGACCCCUAUUGAUGGGUUUUCAUCCAAGAAUUCUGUUUGUCGAUCAUUUGUCUGGCAUAUGAAACAUUCUUUCAAGGGCAUAUUUUGUAGCUCAGAAAAACAAUCAUCUUAGCCUACCCACACACCACCAAACCCUGUCACCCUCACCUACGCCUUGUGGAUGCCCACACUUACUCACAUUAUUAACUGUUGAAAUGAACUCAUAUGUAGGGGAAUGAGGUGCGGAAUCCUUCCGUCAAAUCUCCAUGUCCAAAACCAAACCAAGUGACUAAGGAUUUUAGAGUUGACCUUGAAUCGGUGUAGCACUUAAUCUCACACUCUUGGCAUUUUCUUUAAAACAUUUUUUCCAUCACGUGCCGAAGCUAUAGGUGACAAAAUCACUCUUAUAUAGUACCGAAUAAGUGCCCACACAUUUAUAUAGGACAACAAUCUUAGGAUCCAUUUGGCAUGGCUUUUGCUUUUGUUUUUACUUUUAUUUCAUGUAGAAGAGCUUUUCGGAUUUUUUUUUCAUUUUUGUUUGGAAACUAUACUUUUAAAAGAAUUUCUUAUUAGGACUGAGCAAAUCUUUCGAACCAAAUUCGACGGUUCUUGUCAAAUUAAAUACCCGAACGGGUAUCUGAAUUGAGAACCGACGGAUUUGGUUCGGUUUGUGGUUCUAGAUCAAGAACUGAAUAAGAACCGAAUCUUUCUAAUUUUUUUUUUAUAUUGAAUAAAUCAAAUUAUUUUAAUUUUAAUUUUUUCUAAACAAAUUAACAAUUUCUAAAUCCAAAUUUUUGGCCCAAUAAUUUAUUUCAUUUCUAAUUUUUUGCCCAAUUACCCAUUUUAUUGUUUUAUUUUUUAGCCCAACAAGAUCCAACCCAUUAAAUAACCUUAAACAUCUACACUAAAAUGCAUAACGCUGUCUCGACUCUCGUACUCACUCUCGCAGCCUCCUUGACAUUCCAAAACCUAUACAAUCGCCAGUCGACGCUCUGACCUCCGAUCAAAGCUAUGACUUCCGCCGAUCGAAGUUUUGACCAUAGCGAUCAUUUGAACAAGGUAAUCUACGAGUCUCUGACAUUCCAAAACCAUUGAAUGUGUCAUUAGUUGUAUUUAUAUAAUGGUGUUAUAAAUGUUAAAAAAUUUAAUUAUAGUACGGAAUCGAACAGAACCGAACGGAAUCGAAUCCGAACGAUUCCAUAAUUAUAUUUGGACCCAACGAUUUCAUUUACUAGAUACCCGAAAAGAGAAUCGAACCGACCCACGCCCACCUCUACUUCUUAUUCCAAAAGAACUUUUAGAGAAAGUCAUAUUAGUUGAGUUUCUUCUAAAAACUCUUCUAAAUAGAAGAAGUAUUUUAAUAAAAUUAACCAAAAUAGUUUAAAAGUAACUUUUGAGUCUCAAAAGCUCUUUUUGGGUUUUUAAAAGUCAUGUCAAAUGGGCCAUAAUGUGAAGACCUAAUGGUCUAUUUGGUUUGAGUUUUAAUUUUCAAUUUUGAGUUUAUUUUCUAUUUUCAGGGUCCAUUUUAAGAUUGUUGAAAACUUUUUUUGUUUGUCAUUUUGAAAAAUUAUUUCUCAAAAUGGAAAACUAAAACAUGUUUAUUUUGAAAUUUUAAGAAAUUGUCUUGUAACAUUUUAUUUGUGAUAUUUGAUUGUUCAGUAAAGUAAAGAAAUUUAUGUUAAUAAAUAAUCAGGUAAUAUAUAGAUUUUAAAGUUAGUGAAUAUUAGAAGAUUUUUUCUGCUACAACAGUAAAAUAAAAAUAAAUAAUAAAUUAAAUUGGCAAAACAUAGGAAAUUUAGUGUUAAGUAAAAUGUAUGUUUUUAAUGUUUUUAUUUAACCAACCAAGAAAAGCUUGAACUAUUUUUAUUUUUUAUUUUUUUUACAAUUUUUGGUUUCCUAGAAUUUUAUUUUUUAAGAAUUUAAGAAUAUUAUUAUUCUUUUUAAAUCUAAAAAAUUUUAUUUUAUAUUUUUUGAAUUUUAUAUAUAAUUCUUUUUCAAAAAGGAUAAUUAACACAAAAGGUCCUUACUUUUUAAUAUUGUGUAAAACGUCCUUACCUUUCAUUUUUUAGCAUUGUCGUCCUUAUUUCAACGUUUCAUUACAGAAAAUGUCAUUUUCACUAUUUUUAAUGUAAAAUGACCAAAAUACUCUCCCAUUUAAAUAAAACAAAAAAAAAGAGAAAAUAAAGAGUAAAUUACAAUCUUACUCUUAAAUGUUUUAAAAAGUGCAAGUGAAUCCAAAUAAUUAUUAAAAGGCCUAAUAGCACAAAACGUCCUUACGCUUGGCCUAUAAUGUGCAAAACGUCCCUAUGAUUCAAAUUGGAGAAAAUGAUGUUUUCCGCAAUAAAACAUGAAAAUAAUGAUGAAAAUACAAAAAAAUUGAAACGUAAGGACGUUGUCCGCAAAAGGCGUCAAACGUAAGGAUUUUUUUGCUAUUUGGCCUUAUUAAAAUAUUAAAAAUAUGAAAAAAAACUCUCUCUUCUUCUUCUUCUCCUAAUGGGUCAACCACUUUAGAACCUAAAAAAAUCCAGCAAACCACCACCCAAACUGCUGGACCACCAUACCACCCAAAAGCUCUCACUUCCCUCUACACUUACCACCCAACAUCCAACUUUGAAAACUUCAUGCUAAUAAAUUUGUUUGGAAUUGCAAGCCAAGAUGCCUAAUUCGCAAAUGCAAAUACUGGCAACAUCACCUGUUUCAUAGAGAUUCAUGUCAUUUUCAACAUACCAAUCGACUAGACUCACCAGGGCGCCUCUCUUCAUAGUCUUGAAAUAUCAACAAAUGGUUCAGCGAUAUUGAGGUUCUGCAGUUUGAGCGAUGGUUGGUCAGAGGUUUUUCACCUCUAAUAUGGCAGUCCCAUUUGGAGAAAAAGAGGAGAGCUUUUUUGUUAUUUUUAAUAUUUUAAUAAGGCCUAGUAGUACAAAAUGACCCUACAUUUGACACUUCUUGCGAAAAACGUCCUUACGCUUCAAUUUUUUUUGCAUUUUCAUCCCUAUUUUCACGUUUCAUUGUGGGAAACGUCAUUUUCACCAAUUUGAAACGUAUGGAUGUUUUGUCCACUAUAAGUCAAAUGUAAAGACGUUUUGUAUUAUUAGGCCUUUUAAUAAUUAUUUGGACUCACUUGCACUUUUUAAAACAUUUAGGAGUAAGAUUGUAAUUUAUUCUUUAUUUUUCUUUUCUUUUUUUUUUUAUUUAAAUUGGAGGGUAUUUUGGUUAUUUUAUAUUUAAAAGUGGUGAAAAUGACGUUUUCUACAAUGAAACGUUGAAAUAAGUGCGAAAAUGCCAAAAAAUAAGGUAUGGACGUUUUACACAGUAACAUUGAAAGGUAUGGACCUUUUGUGCUAAUUACCUUUUUCAAAAAUAUCAAACCAUUUAAAUUUUGAGUGUUUUGCAAAACUGAGAAAAGUGAACCCAAAUGCCUCCUAAGUUUCUGUAGUUUAGCAAGGGAUUAACUUUUUAUCACGUUAACCUUAUUGCACAACAUAGAAAUUCUUUUAUAUUUGUUGUUUGGUGUCUCUCAAAGUAGAAAGCCCAACUAAACUCCAUGUCUAGCAAUAUGGCUUUUUCCUAGGAAAUUUUCCAGAACCUAGGAUAUGGUUAUUAAUAGAAAUUUCUAAUAUUUUUAAAUGUUAAAUUUUGGAAAACAUAGAAGAAACACUUUGAUUAGGAUAAUAUAUUGGAUCAUUGCCUCUUUCAUCUCCCAUAGGUGAAAAGAGCACCAUCAUAGUGGUACUCCCUUAUUCCUUCCCAAAGUUAAAAAAUGACCUAACAGCUAACAAUUUGAAGUGGACAACUGGGGUAUGGAAAAUAUAUUUUUGCAUGUGUGUGUUUGUGCAUGCUUAUAAAAAUUUUGGAGGUCAAAUGUGAUGUACGAGCAUGUCUCAAAUUAGUUGACAUGUACCAGUCCAGUGGGGUCCUAGUUAUCCACCUGGAAGCAUCCCAAGCAUGGCAUGACUGAUUGACCGGUGAAUGACCAACCCUGGGAUCAGAUCAACCAGGAACAAGGUGAACUGGAUGACUAAGUCUGGCCAUGGGAAGGACCAACUCAGAAAAUGACCGCCAUAUCCGAAAUAUGGAAGAAUAGUCAUGAAGAGGGAGAUUGAUGGAAACCCCAUGACACAACCUAACUUGCAUUAAUGUAAAUGAAUGGAUCCACAAUGUAAUGACUUUGACUCAUCAUCAGAAAAGUGAAAAGUACAAGUCACUGAAAUCAAAUAUACAGAUAAUGGAAGCCCCAUGAUACAACCAAACUUGCAUUAACCGUAAAUGAAUGGAGCCACAGUGGCAUGACUUUGACUCAUCAUCAGAAAAGUGAAAAGUAUAGGUCACUGAAAUUGAUUCAGCACCAAUAGAAAUAUCCAAUGGAGAGUGAGAAAACCAAUCAGCGGGAAGAAGAAAUCAAAGGUAGAGAUGGUAGGAGAAGAAAACAGUAGAAGAAUAAUGGAAGAAGUGAGGAAACAUUCGCCACAAGCCACCAAAUAUUUUAUUCAAUCAUCAACUGUUUCAAUUUCACGACAAACUAGAUUUAAAUAGCGAGACAAAACCCUAAAGAGAACGGGCUUGGACCAAACCCCUUAUACGAGCCUAAUUACAUAAAUAAGAGUCCAAACAUAAAUAGAAGUCCAACUAGAAGAUUAAUAAAAUGAAUGUCCUCAUCAAUUCUUCCGGGGUGAGAGAAAACUCGACCCUGUCGAGUGGACAGAUCACGAGAGGCUGCAGGCAAUCUCCCAACCAUAAGCUAAGUGGUUGAGCAAGCUUCUUUCGACGUCUGUAAAAAUGUUUCAGUGAAGGUCUGAAUCUGGUGUCCUCACCAACUUUCCCUGAGUGAAUUGGAGGUUAUCUAGGCCAAGGAAGAUACUGCCGACUCCGAUGGAGCUCCAAUAAAUUUGGGUCAAGUUGCUGUAGUGCCUCUCUGGAAAUCCAUGUAUAGUCAGAAUCAGGUCGAUCAACCAACAAAUAAGGAAGCGUUAAACCUCUCCAUCAUUAGUCAGUGCAAUCUGUUCAUCUAAAAUAGCAUCAAUUUUAUCUUUGUGUGUUGUAAGGGGUGGUAUUGGGUUAGAAGUGGCAAGAGAAUCAGGAUCAAGGUCCAUAGAUGGAGGUAGAAGAGGAUCAUCGUAGGGAUUGGAAUAGCCUUUAUAAGCUACUAAGUCCUCAACAUUGAAAGUAGAGUGGUAUCCAAGUAGUGGUGGGAUGUCAACAACAUAUGCAUUUGGGCAAACAUGCCUUAAAAUUUUAAACGGACUAGCAAUAUAGGCUUAAAAUUUAAAGGCAGGUCCAGGAAGACGCCACUCCGGUCUAAUUCAUACCAUAGCGUAAUCCCUAAUGUUAAACUCAGCAUGUCGUUUAUGUAAAUCAGCUCGAAGUUUAUAAGAUGCAUUACUGGCUUCAAGUUGUUUAUUGAUCUCAAUAUGCAAGUUAUAAAGAUAUUGUGCAAAUGCCUCAGCUAAUAUAGACACUAACAUGUGGGGACAUGGAAAUGAGAUCUAGAUUUCGUAGGCUUAAACUCACGAACAACUUCAAAUGGACUCAUACCUAAGGAUCGAUUCAUAGAAUUGUUAUAUGCAAUUUGAGCUGUAGGAAUAAUCAAAUCCCAAUUCCUAAGAUUUUCCUGGACCAAACAUUUUAACAAAUUAUUAAGACUACGGUUAACCACUUUCAUUUGACCGUCAGUCUGAGGGUGGUAGGCCGUAAAAGCUUCAAUUUAGUACAACAUUUUGCUACAAUGUUCUCCAAAAAUGGCUAGUGAAACAAACAUAUCCAUCUGAUACAAUGGUCAUAGGAAGUCCAUACAAUUUGACAAUUUCAUUAAAGUACAACGUUGCAACCUUGGACUCAUCUGAGGUCUUGCUACAAGGGAUAAAAUGGGAUAUUUUUGAAAAAUGAUUAGCGACCACAAAAAUAGAAUCAUGUUUCUUUCGGGUGCGUAGAAGUCCUAACAUAAAAUCCAUUCUAACAUCUUUCCACGAGCAAUUAGGGAUGAGAAGAGGUGUGUAUAGGCUAGUGUUUUGCCUCUUCUGUUUGGCCAACAGACAAGAGUUACAUGUGCUAACUAUCUUAGCCACAUCUUUCUUUUAACUACGACAAUAAAAUUGACGUUUAACCUCUUUGAUGGUCUUAUUACGCCCAAAGCAACUGGCUAAACUUCCCGCAUGAAUUUCCCACACUAUGAAAUCCCGCACCGAAAUUCGGGGGAUGCACAAUUUAUUGGAUCUAAGAAGGUAACCCUUCUCAAGACAAAAACCAACCGCAGUAUCUAAUCGUCCACCGUGCACAUCAAAAAAGAUAUCCUUAAAAUUAGGACAUGUUUCGUAAUCUUCCUUUAGUUUUUCAAAACCUAUGACCUUGACGCUCAUGAUCGACAAAAGGGAAAUACGACAACUUAAAGCAUCGGCAGCUUGGUUCUCUACACCCUUCUUAUGUUUCAAAACAAAAUAAUAGGCUUGCCAAUAUUUAAUCUAGGGAUCAUGCCUAGAAUUCGACCUUUUCUGGGAGUUGAGAUGACAGAAGGUCUCAUGAUCCAAAUAAAGAACAAACUCUUUGGGCAGCAAGUAAUGGCGCCACUAGCACAAAGCCUGUACAAUGGCAUACAAUUCCUUAUCAUAAGUUGAGUAGCGUUGUUUGACAUCAUUUAACUUCUCACUGAAGUAAGCAACAUGAUGGGUUCCCGACUAAGGACUCCAACUAUUUCUACCCCAGAGGCAUCACACUCGACUUCAAAGACUUUGGAAAAGUCGGGAAGACGCAUGAUAGGGACUUCUGUCAUUCACUUCUUGAUUAGCUUAAAAGCCUUAGCCGUCUCUUGUGUCCAAUAAAACUCCCAUCUCUUGAUGCGCUCCAUAAGAGGUGUCAUGAUGGUGUUAAACCCCUUGAUAAAGCGACGGUAAAAUGUGGCUAUGUCGUGAAAGCUCCUGACAUCAUGUAUAGUCUUAGGUUCAGGCUUAUUAACAAUUGCCUGAAUUUUGGCCAGAUGAGUAUAUACCCCGCAGAAGAUACAAUGAAUCCUAGGAAAACAACUCUAUCGGUGAAGAGAGAAUAUUUCUUGACAUUAGCAUACAGUUUUGUCAUGCGAGGAGUAGAACAAACCUGUAUGAGAUGAUUUCGGUGGUGUUCCUUAGUUUUACUAUAGAUGAGAAUGUCAUCAAAGUAGAAAACGAGGAACAUACCUAUAAAAGGUCGAAGAGUUUGUGUUAUGGCUCACAUAAUGGUACUUGAAGCGUUAGUUAGCCCAAAAGGAAUGACCAAUCACUCGUAAAAAACCAUCUUUCGCCUUAAAAGUAGUUUUCCACUUAUCACGUGGACGGAUUCUAAUCUGGUGAUAUUCGGAUCAAUCAUAGAAAAUAUUGUAGUACCUACCAUUAUAUCUAACAUAUCGUCAAGCCUAGAAAUGGGAAAGCGAUAUUUCACCAGGAUCUGAUUGAUGGCACGACUAUCUACACACAUUCUCCAAUAGCCAUCUUUUUUAGGAGUCAAUAGGGCGGGGACUACACAAGAGCUUAAACUCUCACGGAUGAACCAUUUGUGAAGGAUUCAUCUACUUUCCUUUGGAGUUAAGCAUAUUCUGUAGGAUUCAUCCUAUAAUGAGACAAAUUUAGAAGGGACGCCCUGGGAACAAAAUCUAUGGCAUCUUGAAUGUCACGUAGAAGAGGUAACUGGUCAGGUAAGUACUCUGGAAAGAUAUCCCGAAACUCGUGAAAGAAUGACCGAACUUCAGCAGGGCUCUCUGUUGUGGAGCUCAAUGGAACCUACAUAAUAACCACAGCAAAUACAAUUGAGUCACCACCAAGUGUACGCUUAAACUCUAUAGGGCUAAUGAUAUGUAACCACUUUCGCUCAACACUUUUCUUUGUUUCCUGUGAGCUAAUAGGUUUUGGGGUAGUGGGUUAAGAUGAAUUUUCUUACCAUUAAACAAAAAGGUACAAGAAUUGGAUCGAAUAUAGAUGGUUACAUCUAGAUCGAACAAACAAGGUCGCCCCAAGAUGAUGUGCCUGACAUCCAUUGAAAUGACGUCACACCAUAUAUGAUCCUUAUACUCGAGGAACUGGAUAGGAACUAAACAACGCUCGUUUACAACUAUAGAAGACGUAUCAACCCAAGACACGCUGUAUGGCUGAGGGUGAGGAACUGGUUUCAACCCAAGAUGGGAUACAGUAACCAUCGAAAUCGCAUUAAUGCAACUACCACUAUCCACAAUAACUUUACAGCCCUUAUUGUUAAUCUUGAUGUAAGUGUGGAAGAUGGCAUGACGACGCUAAUCAUUGGCAUCCUUGGAUAGGGUAAGGGUACAACGUACGACACCGACUCUAGGCGUGUUGGGAGUAAGGGAAAGGGUCUGAAUACAACCUAAAAAGAUAUCUUCAUUAUUAUCCAAGUCAUCAAACUCUUCCAGCUUAAGGUUAUAAUCUUGGUCCUCUAACGGUUCUUCGACUAUACCCUCACGUUCUUUCAUGACUAGGGCUCGGCUAGGACAUAUAGAAGAAAUGUGACCAAAACCCUUACAGUUAAAGCAUUGCAAAUGGGAAGAUGCUCUAGAAACUUUCGAACCUUUACCUUUAUUUUCUGAUACAGAGGCGGGGGGGCCUUGAAAUAGACUUAGGAGAAGGAGUGGACACAGAAGAGAUUGAAGUGCGGGUGUCACUACGAGUUCUAUACGGUGUCCUAGUCACUAACUCGUAAUCUCGAACAAAAGAGCAGGCAUGUCGAGAGUGGUAACACCUCGAAGGACAAACUCACGCCUAAGAUCAUCCCAUACUCAUUAUCUCACACAAUACCUGCUUACUCAACCCAUGUGGGAUGAACAUUAUCUGUUCUCUUUGAUUUGAUUGUAAGUUUUGAUUUAAAUCCUACUUUCUGGUUAAUUUCCAGGUCCUAAAACUGUGAAACUUUUUGCCAACAAGGAGCAUAUGGGAUUCAGGUAAUGGUUGAAGUUUUGUUAUUUAUUUUUGGUUGGACAGGCCUCCGUUAACUGCUUGUUUUCCUCUAAUAUUUGAAGAGAAUUGUUAAUAUAUGCAGCAAUGUUAAUGACUACCCUCCUAGUGACACUGUUGUUUUGUCUGAGGAUGAUCUCAAGGUAAAUUUCAGUGCUUGAUAUAUUUCACCAUUAUUCUCCUGCGUAAGAUGGGAUUUGCCUGGGUACGUUAGUUGUUAUAGUCAAAAUUGUCACCAAAAUAUCGAGCUAAAUAUACUGCAUCCCUACAGGGAAAACCAGUUAUCUUGAAGUAUGUUAAGUUUCAAAAUGUUCGCAGGUAAGUUCAUUUUCUCAUUGCCAUUGUCAUCCUAACAUAAUCGUUUCAGGCUUAAGAAUGAAAUUCUAACUAAAUAUUCUUAAUCAGUUUAACAAUUUUCAUUGAGGAUAAUCAAUCUGGUUCUGAUAUUACAAAAGUUCAAAAGAUUGUUCUCUGUGGAACAACGUAAGUGUCUCAUUUUUCUCUUGUUUCCCUUCUGUUUUAUUUAAGAUUUUGUACUCUUUGCUUAAUCAUGUUUCUGUUUGAUGAUUGAAUUCUGGGUAAUAUGUUAAAUGGAAUAUCUCAUAAAUGGAUUUGACAUGUUGCUGAACUACUAAAGUUUCGUCGAGAAUCCAUAUUUACUAUUCUUUUCUCCUUUCAGGGCAGAAGCAUGCUAAACCAAAACAUCUUUCUUGUUGGAUAAACUUUAUUCUUUUAUCACUGUGCUCUAUUAGUAAGAUUUUUCAAGCUCUGUAGGUAGCAUUCAUUAUAUCGCUAAUUGAUUUAAAUUGGAAUAAAUGAUGCCCUGAGAUUUGUAAAAAGAUUGAAAUCUCAUAAUUCAACAUGAUAGAUGAUGCUGGUAGAGGGUGUGUGUUCUGUUUCGCUUGAAUUCAGGGUGUCAUGUGAUUUGGUUGUUAAUAAGUGUAGAACCUAUAAUAUUUAGUCUAUAUGAUUUUAAGUAACCAUUUUUAUUUUUAGAUUUAUGCAUAAAAAAUUGAGAUUUUUCACUGACAUUUAGUUAUGAUGUGCUUCAUUGUGUGUAAGCUUAAUCUGCUUAAAUGCGAAACUGUGUUGUGUUAUUAGAUAUGUAAUGUUUCAUGGUGGAUGAUUUUGGUUAUGUGUGCUUCUACUACAGGGUGGAAACUACAGAUAUGAAAGGUUUAAAAAAGAUCGAGGAUCACUGAAUCCAUAAUUUGCCAGAGGAGAGAGAUUAUCUUUGCAUCUGAAAGCAUUUUUAGCAUCUCUUUCUCAUCAAAACAAAUGCAACGAGAUUUUUUCUUGUUAAAGAAAAAUCUAGGGAUAUACUUAAUACAAGGUUAUUUGUGGCAUUUGUAGUCUUUUCAAAUUUUCAUUCUAUGUUGAUUUUCUGUUUAUGUUAAUUGGAGACAAGUUGGUAGAAUAACUGUUUUUUGGUUUUAGCCUAUUUGUGGCAUCUUUGGUGAGGUAUAUUGGACAGAAUGGAAUUUGAUGUGCUGGUUUGAUUGGUUGCUCGAAGGGCUAUAUGCUUUGACCAACUGCCUUUGUUUUAGUGGAAAUUACUACGCAUGGUUGUUAUAUUAACAAUUAGUCGUGGUGGUGGAGCUAAAACUUUUACUUGGCGCACUAUUUACUACUAGUCCCUAUCACAUGCGUUGCACGAAUUUUGUAUUUAUUGUAUUUUUAUUAGUGUAUGAAUUUUAGUUUUUUUGGAAAGUUUUUGAAGCAGAAUUUAAAAAAUUUUUCAUGAUAUAAGAAAAUAAUUGUAAAUUAUUUUUACAAUUGCAUAGCAGUAUGUUAUUUAGAAAAAAAUAUACUUGUGUAUUUCAUGCUUGAAUGAGAAAUAUACAAACUAUUUUCUCCUGUCAUCAGGUCACCAACUUCCUUGACCUUCCGUCACUGGGCAGGCGUCAGCCCUCAUACAUGGUCUUACGACUUUGCGGAGACCUUUUACCUUUUUUCAUGUCCGAUCUCGCAUUCUCGAAGCUUCUUGUUCAUAUCUCUCAUCAAAAGGUGCUAUUCGAUAAUGUCUGUCUAGCAGACCCCCUGCUAACCCGAGCGAACAUUCAAAUAUCUGUCCUACAUUCAUUCGUGAAGGUACUCCUAAUGGGUUGAAAACCAUAUCAACAUGUCUUCCAUCUUGCAGACAAGGCAUAUCUUGUCUAGGCAAAAUUUUGGAAAUGAUACCUUUACUUUCGUGUCUUUCAGUUACUUUGUCGCCUACUUUAAUUUCGCGUUUCUGUGAAAUAUAUAUCUAAUCUACACUAAGAAACAAUAAUAUUGUUAUUGGUUGUUUGUCAACUCCAGUCCAAAUAUCUAUAGAAUAGAUUAUUGCUAGGAUUUUAAUCCAUAUAGAUAUAGAAUUCAACUUAAUUUAUUGAUCAUUACAUAUAAUUCAAUUAAGAUAUUGUAUGAAAGUAUGAUUUCUUCUAUUCUCCUUUGAGAAUUGGAGGAUUUUUGAUUGGGUGGGUGCAAAGAACAGGUUCAAAAUCACGAUCAAUUCCUUUUUCAAAUCCUGCUGUAGCUGCACGAGCCCUUCCCGUGUGCCACAAAUGACCUACGAAGAAAAAGAAUUCUAGAACAAAAUUUUGUUUGUAUUAUUUGAUAGUGUUAAUAUGAUUGAAUUGAAUGUGAAGUUUAUAUUUCUAAAUUUUGAGUAAUUCAAUAUUGUAAAAUUGAAAAAAAAAUAUCCGCACAGUGUGGAGUAAAAAUAAAAAAUAAAAAAAGGUGUGGAGAGAAAAAACUCUCUUCACACAGUGCGAAGAGAGUUGAAUCAUGUGUAGAGAGUUGGCAAACUCUUCGCACAAUACAGAGUAAAAAAAAACUCUUCGCAAAGUGCGGAGAGAAGACAAACUAACUCUCCGCACAGUACGAAGAGCAAAAAAAAUCUCUUCGUACUGUGCGGAGAGUUGGUCCGCACAAUGCGUAGAGAAUUGAAUCAUGUACGGAGUAAAAAAAAAAGUACGGAGAGAGUUGAACCAUGUGUGGAGAGUUAGCAAACUCUUCGCAUAGUGCGGAGUAAAAAAAAACUCUUCGUACAGUGUGAAGAGAUGACAAAUCAGCUAUCCGCACAGUACAGAGAAAAAAAACUCUCCGCACAGUGUGGAGAGUUGUUUUCAAAUUCCUUAAUUAAAAGUCAAAUUUCAAGAUUGUAAAUUUUUCAUAUAUACAACGAAACAGAGUCGAAAAAUAUGGUUCAAAAUCAAUUAUGUUUUCUUUAAAUUUCAAUCACAGCUCAAUUUCUGAACAUGCAAAUCAUAUUUAUGGUAUUGGAAAUGAGCUUUCUCGUGAUUCAUAUAAUGAAACAAUAUAUGAGUUGUGCAAAGAAAUAGAUAUUGAUAGUACUAUGGCAUUGCUUUCACAAAUGGAGACUCUAGGGUACCAUUCAAAUUCAAUAUUUUAUAUUUGCUUGAUAACAGCUUUUGGAUAUUAGAAGAGGAUACAAUUUUCAAUUAAAUUAUACUUUCGUGUUGUAGGCCAAGAAUUAAAAUGUUCAAUGCAUUGCUCAAAAGUUGUUUGAGAAAAGACUUUUUAAAACUUGUGGAUAAAAUUUGGAAAGUUUUUGUUUUUCUCUUCACACUGUGCGGAGAGAUAGUUUGUCAUCUCUCUGCAUUUUGCGGAGUUUUUUUUUUUUGCUCAUGUACGGAAAUUUUAUUUUUUUGGUCUCAUAGAGUUUAUAUGUACUAAAAUUAUUAUUAUUUUUUUAAUGUCGUUGGCAUGAUGCGUGUGUGGAAGAAUAUUUGUCAAUUACCAUAAACAAAAUUCUUCACAAAAUUCAAAAAAUAAAAAUGCAUAAUAAAUCUUCUCGUUACGCUAGUAAAAUUACAAUAAAUUUUUUUUUACAAAUAACAUAAAAAAAUCAUUUUUAUCUUCAGUUAAAAAACACAUUUAAAAAUUAACAAUUUCAUAGCCAUUUUUUUUUUUAAAUUUUCGGAAAUACAAUUGUGAAAAAGGAAAUAAUAUUGAAUUACAACAUUUAAUACUUAAAAAAUUUAAUAUUAAAUAAAUUUUAUACAUUUAUAACAAAUUAUAAAUCCAUAUAUGCAGCUUAUCGUAUAUACAGUCUACCAUAUUUGCAAACAACUUACCGUAUUUGUACUUUAUCGUAUUUGCACCUUACCGUAUAUGCUGCUUACCGUAUUUGCAACUUACCGUAUUUGCAACUACCGUAUUUUCACAUUAUCGUAUUUUUUCAUCAUAUCGUAUAUGCUGCCUACCGUAUUUGCAACUUACUGUAUUUUUAUAUACCGAUUUUUGCAUUUACAAAUAUCAAGAAUGUAGAACACCGUACAUUCACUUACCUAACCGAAUUUUUAAAAAAAAUUCAAAUUUUUAUUUUUUCAACAUAAGUAUAAAAUAAAUAUUAAAUAUAUAUGAAACACAAAAUGUAAAUACCUAUGAAUAUGGUGCUCAAUCUUCAAUUUUUCAAUAUUGAAUUACAGAAAAUUUAGAAAUAUAAUUUUCAUAUUCAACUCAAUCAUAUAAACACUAUCAAAGAAUACAAGUAAAAUAAUUUGAAUAAUCUCGUAUAUUUUUUAUUCAUGUAUGAAAUAUACAAGUAUAUUUUUUUUAGAUGACACAAUACUGCUAUGCAAUUGUAAAAAUAAUUUACAAUUAUUUUCUUAUAUCAUGAAAAUAUUUCUAGAUAUUGUUUCAAAAACUUUCCAGAAAAUAAAAAUUCAUACACUAAUAAAAAUACGAUAUAUGCAAAAUUCGUGCAACGCACGUGACAGUCAUUGUGCGGAGAGUUUUUUUUUUUUUUUUUUUUUUAAAUAUGAAAAUAUUUCUAGAUAUUGUUUCAAAAACUUUCCAGAAAAUAAAAAUUCAUACACUAAUAAAAAUACGAUAUAUGCAAAAUUCGUGCAACGCACGUGACAGUCAUUGUGCGGAGAGUUUUUUUUUUUUUUUUUGUAUAACUUCGCACUGUAGUGAGAGUUUGCCAACUCUCCGCACCGUGCGAAGAUUUUUUUCCUUUUUUUACUCCGCACUGUAUGGAGAGUCCACACUUUGUGAGGACAGUGUUCGCACAAAUUGUACGGAUUGUCUGUACAGAAUGUCAUCUCUUUGCACCGUGCGAAGGGAUUUUCUUUAUAUUUUUUUUUUACUUCACACUGUACGAAGAGUUGGAACUCUCCACACAUGGUUUGUCAUCUCUCCACAUUAUGCGGAGAGUUUUUUCCACAAAUAGUUUGCCAUCUCUCCGCACUGUAUGGAGAGUUUAUUUUUUUUUAAAGCUCAUGUGAGAAGAUUUUUUUAUUUUUAUUUAUUCAUUUAUUAUUAUUUUUUUGUUCAUAGCAGUUUAUAUUUACUAAAAUUAUUAUUAUUAUUUUAAUAUUAGUGGUAUAAUGUGUGGAAGAACAUUUGUUUGAUAUAAUUAUUUUUUUAAUGCUAGUGGAAUGAUAUGUGGAAGAACAUUUGUUUGACAUAAACAAAAUAAAAAAUAAAAAAUGACAUCAUGUAUAGUAAAAUUGGAUUCGUUUACUAUUGCAUAAAUAGUAGACCCCUCUUCCUUUUUUUAUUAGAAGUUAGACAAUAGUUAUAAUAAUAUUAAGUUUUUGUUUGAUGAGAAUUGAAAUUAGAUUUUUAUUAGAUCUUAAUAAAAAUUGAUAAAAUGUGUGGUUGACAAGUUGGGGAUACUAUAAAAUAUGUAGUUAAAAUUAAUUGUUGACUUUGACUUUGAUUAAAAAUCUGAAUUUUAAUAUUUAUCAAAUAGGGUUUAAAUGAUAUCUAUAUUUUUAAUACUAUUCAAAAAGUGCAAUUCUGUGAGAGAGAAUUCAUUUUUGGUUUUUCAAUUCUUGGAACAAUGCAUGUGUGAUAUUUACAUAUUUUUAAUUACUAACCCUAAAUUUAAAUGGUGAUAUUAUCAGAAAUCCUAAGUUAGCACAGGCUAAUGAAUUUUCUUUUCGUAGCUUGAGAAAAUUACGACAAUAACAAGCUUAUAGAACAACUCUAUUCCUCAUAACUAUAUAUUUUGGGUCCUUUUUUUUUUUUUUUAUAAAUAAUUGAAAGAUACAGAAGAAGAGUGGAAACUUGUUAUGAGCAAAGCAAGCCUCGACUUUGUGACAAUGUUUAGCCCCCGUUUGCCCCCUAUUAAUUUGAAUUAUAAUGGGAGGAAUAGUGUUUUUUUUUUAAAUGAGUUGUUGUAAAAGAAUAAAAAGUUUUCGAUUUACGUAAAAUAUUAUUUUAUUAAAAAUUGUGUGGUUAAAAAUAGUGAAAGAAAAAUUUAAUUUAAAUUGAUGAGAAUUAAAGAGGGCAAACGGGGGCUUAAUAUUAAACCGCACUAUUUACACUGUAAUUCUAGUGCACUCUAGACAAAACCUGCACAUAUGAUUAUAACUCGCUGUAAGUUUAGCUUGACUUAUUUUUUUUCCUAUACAGAGUAACAAGAAAUAAAGGCAUAAGAUUCUUAUAUCCCACUCCAUUAAGACAUGGAAAUAACUAAAUGCUUUUGUGGAAGUAAUAUUUUAAAAAUCAUUUUUUAAGUUGACUCUCAUAUCUCACUCCCCAAAAAAAUAAAAAUAAAAAUAAAAAUAAAAAGAAAAAAAGUGCUUGUGUGGAAGUGAUGUUUUAAAAAUUACUUUUCUCCACUUUCUUUUCAAUUACAAAUUCCCCCUACACACACACACAUAUAUCACUCCCCAAAAAAUUAAGAAAAAAAUGAGAAGAAAGACAGAGUGCUCGUGUAGAAGUGGAAUUUUAAAAAUCACUUUUCUCCACUUUCUUUUCAAUUACAAAUUCAUAUAAAUAUAUAUAUUCCGUUAAUUUUUUCCUACUUUUUGUCGAUACAUUCUCCAGGAAAAUCGCUUUUCAAAUAAUCUCCCCCACACUAAAUAAAAUAAGUCAUUAGAUUUUCAAUCAGGAGCUAUUUAGUAAUUAUAAAAAUAAAAGGGUAAUUAUAAAAAUUAAUGGUGAGAACCACCAUAUUUCAUUUUGGCAUUUGAUGACACAAUCAGAGAACAUAACCGGAGAGAGAUAAGAAUCUGGAAAAUGAAUUCCCUUCUUGUUUUAAAUGAAAAAUAAAAUAAGCAUUUAAGUAGUUAGAAUUGUUAAAUAUGCUGUUUUAUCCAACAAAUGCACAUAGUAUGUUGAAGAAUAAUAGAUACUCUACUGCUCUCCACUAGAACCCGUUCCCCCACGAAUGCGUUUCUGCAGAUGUUCCAAGCUAGAGAUUCUCUGCAUCGAAACUGUUCUUCCCAUCUUGUUCCGCGCACCUGCUGCAUCAUUCUGUUGUACAUUAUCUGCUGGAGGAAUAUCUAUCGAACCAUUUUGGAACCUAGGAUCACCAGUCGAUGUAGAACUUUGAUGAUAGCACUGUUUUGUGUCAUCUAGCACUUGUACUGGUACAGCAGCAUCUGCUGAGGUUUCAGAUGGACUACCAGCAAAAGAUGGCAUGCCCAUUGUGGAUAUCUCGGACAUGGAUUGGAACAGUGGGCCUAAACCUGUUACUCUUUUAACAGCCUCUUCUGCCAUUUUUACCUGUUACUUUCCGAAAAAUCAACAUCUAAUGAAUACUUCUAUUAAGAUCAAAGAAACCUAAAUCCAAUAUUUUUCCUAGCCCGUUUAUUUAGCUAAAAAAAUCGAUAAAAAUCUAAAUCAAAGUCAAUAAUUAAUUUUAAUCAUACAAUUUAUGGGAUUACAAUUUUUCAACCACAUUUCAUAAACUUUUAUCAAAAUCUACUAAAAAAUUCAUGCAACUUUUCUUAUUCAGGAGCAGUACAUUUAUACAGCAUUUUGGAUUCAUUUAAUCCGUAUAAUAGUGGAUCAACAAGAAAAGUAAACAAAUUUUUAUCCUGAAAUUCAUAAUAAGAGACCCAUCUGUGACUCUUGUGCCUAAGUUCAUGAAUUAUAAGGAUAAAAUCACUAUAUAGUUUUCAGAAUCCCAGUUAAGUGUUAAUCUUACCUUAGCUCUCAAUGUCUCAACAUCAGCUUUCAGAACUCUAUUGUCUACAGCUGCUUCAUUGUACUUUUGGCUUAUAUCAGAGAGUUUCUUCAUCAAAGAAGAGUUUUCAACUCUUAACUGGGAAACCUGGAAGAAGCAUGAGCUAUAUCUCAAUAAACAAAUCAUCAGAAUACCAUGGUAAAUGAAGAUGAUGAGACUCAAGAAAUAUACUUGUGUCUCGAGCUCGGUCAAAUGGGCCUGCUUUCUUCUUCUUGAGCGUCUUGCAGAUUCCCUGUUUGAAAGCAUUCUGAAAAGGAAAACAAAAUAAUUUGAUAAAAGAACUGUUUUUACAAUUAUAACAAUGUACAUCAAGGAUCACACAGUAAUUUAGAACUUCAUAUACAUCCAUAUAUUCAUAUCCUGUAAAGCACCGAAUAUAACUAUGAUUAAAUUAUUUAAAAUUCUUCAUUUACAUAAUAUAAAUUUAGUUUUAUACUUAUUAUUAUUUCCCUCGUCGAAAUCUUUUAAAUAUCUCACCUAAUUGUUAAUUAUAAUAACUUCGAGUUAAAAAUAUAUAUUAUUUAUGAUAGAGUUUAUAUCAUAUUUAAAUUAUAAAAAGUUGGAAGGCAUGUGGCGGAUGCAUUGGCAUUAUGAAAAUAAAAUUACCACAUACAAAAAUCAAGAACCUUGUUAUUGUUGAAAUUAAGUUAUUUAUAUAUUACUCCACAAGUAUCAUCCCUUACUAUAGGUUAUUCUCCAGCUCACCAGGAACUUGCUACCAUAUGCUUUUGAUGAAGAUUUUAAUAGAUACCAGAUUCAAGACUUAACGAUGAAUACACAUUUAUUUCAGGGAGAGAGAUUGUGAUUUAGUUUAAGUGAUUUCCUAUUUUUCUAUAUUCAGAUAUAUUUUCAUUUUAAGCUUUUAGGUUUACGAGAGACAACUUUUCAUUUCUUUUAUUAGGACUUUAAGCACAAAAGGUAUUUAAAUUAUAUAGACUAUCGAAUGGAAUAUUGCAGCGUUGAUCAAUAGAGUAUGGUACGAGUUGGUCCUCAACCCUUAAAAUGAGCAAUCAGUCCUCAACCUUAAUCUGUUGUCACACGUUUUCUAAAGCCUCAAAAAAUCCUAAUUAGCCAUCUUUUAAACUAACUAGCCGAUUACACACUUAUUUUGAUUUAAAUGAGAAAAGGAAAAAAGGGGGAAAAAAAGGAAAGGAGAAAUGCAUCCUCUCCCGCAACCCCCCACCCACACCCUGGCCCCUUUCCAAACUACCACAAAAAAAUACGUAACCCAAUCCCACCACCAGACCCCAACCUCACAUCCUUCUAACCACUGCCACCCAGCCAUCAUUCCUGCAACUCACUCCACCUCUAGCGUCCUUAAUACCUAUGUCACCUCCAACCACCUGUCCACGAAAAUCAAUGAAGCUACAGAACCAAAGGGUUGGGGCCGGCGUUCGCAAUAUAAAUAAAUUGGACCAAAUUGCAACAAGGUCCAUAUGUCGGGGACUCACGGUGAAAAUUUCCACUUUAACAAAAAAGGUUGCCAUUGUUGGCAAGAAAAAAAAAUCUUGCUAUUUUUUGUGGGUGGUAAAAAACAAAAAAGGAAGUUUCGAAAUUGCUCAAAACAAAAGAGGUUACCAUUCAUCGAAACAAAAUAGAGUAAAAAAAAAAAAAAAAGGUUGAAAAAAGCUAUAGCAGACAACGUCUAUAGAGCACAUUCAAUGAGUUCAACAACAAUACGACCCUUAAGUAUAUUUGUCUUCUCCUAAAUACUAAAUUUAGGUGCAUGUUCAUUUUAUUUGACAGUAGCAGUACUAUUAUGCAGUUCCAUAAAAGUUCUCUCUACAGAUUACAGAUCAAGAUGCAGUCAUCCCCCUACCAUGAGAUAUAUAUUAUGAAAUCAAUCUUGUGUGAUUGCACAUAUUCUUGAGCAAUUAGCUACUAAAAGAUAUUCUUUUCAUACCUCCGUACGCGCUUUGCAUCUGCAGGGUCCAUAUUCAGAGUUGUUUCAGUUUCUCCUUCACCCUCAUCAUCAUCUGAUUGUUCUCCAGAUGAACCACUUGUUGUUGACUUAACCUGAGCCCCAGAUUUCUUAGGCACUGCAGGCAGGCAAGAUAACCCAAGUGUUCCACUGGCAUCCUUAUCUUCUCCCACUGAUGAUACAUGCCCAGCUCCUUAAAAGGAUUGGGGAAAAGAAAAACAGAAAAUAAUGUCAGUAAUGGCUUUGACCUUCAGAGUACACCAAGCCAUUAUCAUCUGUUUUUAUCAAUAGAUAUAGAUGAACUCCUGGACAAUAAGCAUACAUACGAUGAAAGUAUUGUAUUAUUUUACUUGUCAAAAGUCGAGGUGUUCAAUAACAGAAAAAUAUGCCAAUUGAAAUCAAAAUCAAUAUUCUGGAUUUUUAUUUCUCAAUGAAAAAUACAUUCCCAAUACCUCCUACUUAUACUAUACAAUUCAAACAAGAAAAGGAAAACAUAAUUAUCUAAGGAAAUAAAUCAACCUACCAAUUAACCUAAAAUCACAAUCUUUAAUUAAUUACAAUUUCCAUCUGUAACUCCUUUCCAUACACGGUUUCCUACACUCCCACUCAAGUUGAACUAUAGAUGUUAAUCACGUUCAACUUGAUGUUGAAAUCGUUGAAGCUUUGUCUUGACAGUCCUUUGGUUAACAUAUCCGCGGUUUGUUAAGUUGUAGGAACAUAUGUCAUACAGAUAAUCCCAUCUUAUACCUUUUCUUUGAUAAAAUGUUUGUUCACUUCUAUAUGUUUGGUUCAGUCAUGUUGUACUGGAUUGAGAGAAAUACUGAUGACUGCUUUGUCGUCACAAUAAAGUUUGAUUGGGAGUUCCACAUUUACUUUAAAUUCUUUCAAGAGUUUUUUUAUCCACAUUCCCUCACAAAUUUCUUCGGCCACGGCUCUGAAUUUAGCUUCGGCACUACUUUUAUCCAUUACAUUCUAUUUCUUACUUCUCCAGGUCACUAAGCUUCCCCAUACAAAUGUACAAUAGCCCGAAGUAGAUCUUCUAAUCCAGCCCAAUUAGCAUCAAUGAAUACUUCUACUCCGAUCCUUUUAUUUUUUUCAAAAAAUAAAAUCUUCUCCCAGAAGUGCCUUAUAGAUAUCUGAGAAUUUUGUAUACUGCUUCUAGAUAAGCUUCUUUAGAAAAGUACGUGUUGACUUACCACAUUAACUACGAAAGCAAUAUCGUCUAGUGUGUGAGAGAUGAUUAACUUACCAACCAGUUUUUGGUAUCUGUCUAUUUCCACUGGGCUCCCUGUGUCUUUUAUUUUUCUAGAUUCAAUAGGGGCGUCCUAGCAUGCCAGUUUCUCUGAGUAGAUCAAGAAUGUAUUUCCGUUGAGAUACACUAAUACCCUUUUUCUAUCUUGCAAUCUCCAGCUUCUUGUACAGUGUGCAAUCAUCUACGCAUUUCCAUUCCUCCUCAACACUGAGGUCUAAUUCUUGCCAGAGAGCUACCAUUUACAUAUAAUAAUCAGUCACGUCUCUUGAGCCUUGCCGGUCUGCCACAAUCGGGUUUUAAUUUCAAAUAUGUGUGAUGAAUCUUCCACAUCAAAGUAAGUAUCUUUUACUGAAUCGCAGAUGUCUUUUGCGGUUGGGAGGAAGAGAUGAGUUUUUCCAAUCGCCAUUUUCACCGAAUUUACCAACCAAGCUAUUACCAUGGAGUUUUCGGACUUCCACUUCUGCAAUAUCACAAUGCUGGUCGAUUUCUUGGUUUCGCCAAUAAGAUAACCCAAUUUUAAUUUACCGUCUAUUACUAAUUUUAUGGAUUGAGCCCACUCUCGAUAGUUCCUUACAUUCAAUUUUUCCACCAUGAGUUGGAAGGAAGAAUUCUCUAGCCCAUUUGAGCUGAUUGAAGAACUGACCUCUACUUCGAAUACUGAAGUUGCAAAGGUCGUCGACUCUUGGCAGUUAGCGGAGAAUUCCGCCAUUGAGUUGCUAAGUUGGAGAAACCACGGUUCUUAUAACAUGAAAUCAAAAUCAAUAUUGUGGAUUUUUAUUUCCCAAUGAAAAAUUCAUUCCUAAUACCUCCUACUUAUACUAUAAAAUUCGAACAAGAAAAGGAAAACAUAAUUAUCUUAGUAAGGAAAUAAAUCAACCUACCAAUUAACCUAAACUCACAAUCUUUAAUUAAUUACAAUUUCCAUCUGUAGCUCCUUUCCAUACAAGGUUUCCUACAACAAUUCAGAAAAAUGAUGCAAUCAAGAGGAUCUUGAGAGGAAUGAUUGCAUACAUAUAAUUGAAAGACUUCAUUUACGUGCACGAUUUCGGAAGCUGUGGGGAAAAUAUGUAACUUUGACAUCAGUCGGUCCACAGACAACUAAAUUCACCAAAAUACACCAUCAAUAUGUGCGGGUGAAGCUAAAGAUCAUAUAAAAGAGAUCUGAGACUUAUCCUGCUUUGUAAUUGUAAGGUAAGUUGCACUAAAAGACAGACACAUGCACCAGUAAGUAUAAGAAUGUUAUGGCAAUGUUGUAAAGAUUGGA